AUGGUGGUGCUCUUGUUCCUCAGCUUUGCUGCCUGCACUGCUCUGCUCUCAGGAGAGAAAGUCCUGCAGACUCCCAGUGACAUGUUCAAGAACCCGGGAGAGACGGCCACCAUCCAAUGUAUUCAUAGCGUGCCGGGCUACAACCUGAUGCUCUGGUACCAGAACCUGGACAUGCGGAUGCAGCUCCUGGGCUACAUGUACUCUGACAGCCCCAGCACAGAAAAUGGUGUGGACGUGGAGAUCAAAGGGAGCGCCGCAGAGAAUAGAAUGUGUCAGCUAAUCAUCCCAAAGCUCAAGCCGAACAGCAGUGCAUUUUAUUACUGUGCAGCUAGCUACCACGCUGCAGCAGUAAGCUGCCCUAUCAAGUCAUAA